rnacentral:rRNA from 1 species
CUCGUAGGCGGUUUGGUGAGUCGGGUGUGAAAUCUCCACGCUCAACGUGGAGGGGCCACCCGAUACUGCCAUGACUAGAGUCCGGUAGGGGAGUGUGGAAUUCCCGGUGUAGCGGUGAAAUGCGCAGAUAUCGGGAGGAACACCAGUAGCGAAGGCGACACUCUGGGCCGGUACUGACGCUGAGGAGCGAAAGCGUGGGGAGCAAACA